rnacentral:tRNA from 1 species
UAGAAUGGAGUGUAAUUGGUAGCACGGAGAAUUUUGGAUUCUCAGGUAUAGGUUCAAUUCCUGUUGUUCUAG